AUGAUGUAUCUCAGUAUAUACGAAGAGGACUACAUUAUUCUGAAAGAUGAUUUGGUAAAACAAUGGAUAGCGGAAGGUUUUAUCCAUGCAACAGAAGAGGAAGACAUGGAAGAAAUAUCAAGGAUCUGUUUCGGUGAGCUAAUCAGUAGAAGACUGAUCCAACCUGUACAUAUAAGUGACAACAAUGAUGUUUUGUCCUGCACAGUGCAUCACAUGGUACUUGAUUUUAUCAAACAUAAGUCCUUUGAAGAGAAUUUUGUUACAGCAAUAGAUAAUUGUCAGACAACUGCACCACUCGUAGACAAGGUUCGUCGACUGUCUCUUCACUUUGGUAAUGCAGAAGCAACGCCACCAACAAAUAUGAGACUAUCACAAGUUCGCACUCUCGCAUUUUUCGGGGUCAUCAAGUGUUUGCCUUCCAUCGUGGAGUUCGGGCUUCUUCAAGUUCUAAUCCUUCAUCUUUGGGGCGAUGAUGAAAACAUCUGUGUUGAUCUCACUGGAAUAUCUGAGCUAUUUCGGCUGAGAUAUUUGCAUGUCACAUGUAAUGCCACCUUAGAAUUACCACAAACCCAAAGGCGAGGUCUACAAUAUUUGGAGACACUGAAAAUAGAUGCAAAAGUAAGUGCAGUUCCGUCAGACAUUGUCCAUUUGCCGGGCUUAUUGCACUUAAGUCUCCCUGUUGAAACAAAUCUGCCCAAUGGUAUUGGCCGCAUGGCAUCACUUUGCACCCUUGGAUAUUUUGAUCUAAGUGUUAACUCGAUAGAUAAUGUGCAGAGCCUUAUUGAGCUGGCCAAUCUUCGGGAUCUUCGGCUCACUUGUUCUACUGUUCAUUCUUCUUAUUUAAAGAGCAAAAUGGAUAUUAUGGGCACUAUUCUUGCGAAACUCAGCAACCUUCGGUCCGUAACUCUGAAGCCUUCAGGUAUUCUGGACAGAGGAUCUUCCAGCAUGAGCAUUUCCUGUGAUGGCUUGAGCAGCGUUUCCUCUCCUCCGGCGCUUCUUGAGAGAUUUGAGUGGUUGCCGUGCAUCUGCACCUUCUCCACCAUCCCCAAGUGGAUUGGACAUCUCAACAAGCUCUGCAUUUUGAAGAUUGGGGUUAGGGAGCUAACGAGCAGUGAUGUUGAUGUUCUCAGAAGGUUGCCUGCACUUACCGUUUUGUCGUUAUAUGUCCGAGCAAAGCCUGCAGGAAGGAUUGUCUUCACUAAGACAGGAUUCUCGGUUCUCAAGUGCUUCAAGUUCAGGUGCAGUGUACCUUGGCUGGAAUUUGAGGUGAAUGCAAUGCCUAAUCUAUUGAAACUCAAGCUAGGUUUCGAUGCCCAUGGAAAGUAUCAACCCCGUAUUAUACCUGUCGGCAUCAUGCACUUAACAGGCCUUAAGGAAAUCUCUGCAAAAAUUGGGGGUGUUGGUGCUAUUGACCCCAAUAGAAGGGCUGCAGAAUCAGCGUUGAUUGACGCUAUUGAGAUGCAUCCGGCACGCCCCACCUUUAACAUACAGUCUUUAGACAGGAUGUUCAGUGUUAAGGAUGACAAUAAUAGCAGUGUACAAGAGGAAGAACACACGACUCUGCAAAAGCAAUACGAUAUCAUGGAGGAAGACUCAAUGGAGGAACAAGAGGAAGAACACACGACUCUGCAAAAGAAAUACGAUAUCAUGGAGGAAGACUCAAUGGAGGAACAAGAGGAAGAACACAUGAUUCUGCAAAAGAAAUACGAUAUCAUGGAGGAAGACUCAAUGGAGGAACAAGAGGAAGAACACAUGAUUCUGCAAAAGAAAUACUAUAUCAUGGAGGAAGACUCAGUGGAACAGCAUCGAGCCUUUCAAAAGGGCACCUGCGAAGAUGCUCACAGCAGGUCGUCUUCGUUUUCAGAUUGGAAAACUGUUGCGGACAAGCAAGCUGACAGUAGAGCACAUCUUCCGGAUCAGAUUGGAGAGAGGAUUGAUCUCGCCAGCAACGCCCCUGCCGUCGGCGGCAUCGUCGUCCGCGCCAUCUCACGGGCACGUGGCUUCUUCGGGCGGCUGCUCUCCCGCGCCAUGACGCGGCAGCGCAGCGGGCCGUCGUCCUUAAAUUUCAAGGAAAACACCGGGGAGUACACCUUCGCGCAGCUGGCGACGGCGACGAACGGCUUUGCGCCCAAGGCCAAGAUCGGCGCAGGAAGCUUCGGCACGGUGUACCGGGGCAAGCUCCCGGACGGGCGCGAGGUUGCCAUCAAGCGCGGGGAGUCGUCUGGGCCGACGGCGCGCAGUUUCCAGGAGGAGAGUGCGUUCAGGUCGGAGCUCGCCUUCCUCUCCCGCCUCAACCACAAGCACAUCGUCGGCCUCCUGGGCUACUGUGAGGAGAACGACGAGCGGCUGCUCGUGUACGAGUACAUGAACAACGGCGCGCUCUACGACCACCUCCACCCCAAGGGCGUGGACGGCGACGUCGCGUCCCCGGUGGUCUCAUCAUGGAACCUGCGCAUCAAGAUCCUGCUGGACGCGUCGCGCGGCAUUGAGUACCUGCACUCGUACGCCGUGCCGCCCAUUAUCCACCGCGACAUCAAGUCGUCCAACAUCCUGCUGGACGGCAGCUGGGUGGCGUGCGUGUCGGACUUCGGGCUGUCGCUGAUGGAACCACCACAGACGGACGGGGCAGGGUCGCAAGUGCAGCAGCACCUGUCCACGAAGGCCGCCGGCACGGUGGGGUACAUAGACCCGGAGUACUACAGCGACCUGCACCACCUCACCGUGAAGAUCGACGUCUACGGCUUCGGCGUGGUGAUGCUUGAAACGCUCACGGGGAAGCGUGCCAUAUUCAAGGAGGCCCAGGGCGGGAGCCCCGUGAGUGUGGUCGACUACGCGCAGCCCAGCGUCGUGGCCGGGGAGCUCAGCAAGGUACUGGACAGGCGGGCGCCUGAGCCGACGCCGGUCCAGGCCGAGGCCAUCGAGCUGGUGGCCUACACGGCUGUGCACUGCGUGCGGCUCCAUGGCAAAGACCGGCCGCACAUGGCCGACAUUGUCUCCAACCUGGAGACGGCAUUCGCACUUGUAUCAUGUCAGGACGAGUUAAGCUAG
rnacentral:rRNA from 1 species